AUUCUAUCCACACUCUUUUUCUUUACUUUGAAAAGAGUUGUUGGGACUUGGGAGGUUUACUUGCAGAGUUUUAAUACAUAAAUCUGCUCUCCUUGAAUGUAUUAGCAGGGAUUUUAUUAGUCCUUGGGUUGAUGUUGAUUAAUAAAAUGUCUCUUCAAACCCUUGUGGCCUAAGUUUAUCUGCUUCAAACUGUCUUACUAGACAAAAUGUACAAGUU
rnacentral:misc_RNA from 1 species